rnacentral:rRNA from 1 species
UACGUAGGUGACCAGCGUUGUCCGGAUUUACUGGGCGUAAAGAGCGCGCAGGCGGUCGUUCAAGUCGAGUGUGAAAGCCCCCGGCUCAACUGGGGAGGGUCAUUCGAUACUGAUCGACUUGAAGGCAGGAGAGGGAAGCGGAAUUCCCGGUGUAGUGGUGAAAUGCGUAGAGAUCGGGAGGAACACCGGCGGCGAAGGCGGCUGCCUGGACCGGCCCUGACGCUGAGGCGCGAAAGCUAGGGGAGCAAACAGG